GUACUCUAGUUGUUUAGCACUGGGGCUGCAAAUGCAAAGUCCUGGGUUCAAUUCCUCAUAUA
rnacentral:tRNA from 16 species